CUCGAAUAGUCAAACAGCUUUGUCAUAAGUCGAAGGCUAAACGAUUCCCCAAGUUAAAAGCACUAAACCCCUCGCCCCUAAAACCUCCCGCUCCGAUCACUGAUGGAGUCUCCCGCUUGUUGUUCGAGUUCUGUUUCUUCAGGCGAGAAAGACUGGGGAGAGAAGGUAUCAGAGAAGGUGCUAUCACUUUACAAGUCUCUUCCCAAGAAGGGAAAGCCACAGGGACGCGAAGUCACUGUCUUGGCCGCAUUCCUUCUCUCCUCUCCCUCUCAAGAUUUGGAAGUUGUGGCAUUGGGGACGGGUACUAAAUGCGUUGGGCGUUCGCUCUUGAGUCCGCAUGGUGACGUAGUCAAUGACUCUCAUGCUGAAAUUAUUGCUCGCAGAGCUUUGUUGAGGUUCUUCUAUACAGAGAUUAAACGUCUCAAUGACAAUUUACAACAGCAAAGAAAUGAUAAAACAAAAGAGCAAUGGCAAAGUGACGACAUCAAAGACUCGCCUUUCCAAUUGGACAGGGAUGGUCCCAACCAAAGAAAGUACAAACUGGGAGUGGAUUGGCAGUUGCAUUUGUACAUAUCACAACUUCCAUGUGGGGUUGCCACACUUAGUUCACAUGUAUAUCCUAUGAACGAUGUUCUCCUAAGACAAGAUAACUUGCCACCAUCAGCUGGUCAGGUUAAUGGUUCCAUAGGUGGAAUUUUGGAGUUCUCCGCAAAGAGUAGUGUUGAAGGCUUGCAACUAACUGGCACGGUCCAGAGAAAGCCUGGUCGUGGUGAUACAACAUUGUCAGUUAGCUGCUCUGAUAAGAUAGCUCGUUGGAAUGUUGUUGGAGUUCAAGGAGCCUUGCUUUCCCACUUUCUUCAACCUGUCUACGUCUCUUCCAUUGUUGUUGGACAAUCUCCUAAUGUUUCGGACAAGGUUCUCCUGGAGGACCAGCUGAAAGUAUCUUUAUGUGAUCGGAUUCUACCAUUAUCAAGUGAACUUAUAAAACCCUUUCUAGUGAACAAGCCUGUAUUUCACGCGGCUACAAUGCCACCCAAUGAGUUUCAGCAUUCUGAUUGUGCCAAAGCAACUUUAACAUGCGGGUAUUCUAUAUGUUGGAACAAGUCUGGCUUGCAUGAGGUCAUUUUGGGAACUACUGGAAGAAAGCAAGGGACGUCUGCUAAGGGGGCCCUUUCUCCAUCUACAGAGUCGUCGUUAUGCAAGUACGCUGACAAUAAUUCUCUAGUAAAUUUAAGUUACAUGUGUAGUUCUCUAGUUUAUUAUUCAGAUAUUAUCAUCAUUUCUCUGUUUCCUAGGAAGCAAUUAUUGGAGAUUUUCUUGUCAAUAUCACAUGGGUACCAAAUUAACUACCCAACCAAUGAGAUGUCAUAUCGAGAACUGAAGGACAAGGCUCAAGCAUACAGUUCAUCUUCCACAAUAUUUAAAGGAGGAGCACAUUUUAACAACUGGUUGUUGAAGCCCUUAGAUUUUGAGGCCUUCUUCAUUGAUGAGUGUUCAGGUGGGCAGAUGAUUGAACUCAGCUGCUAAUAGGUGGGGUAAUUGUAGGGGGGAACUGUCAUACGAUUCUCAUGUCUAGGAAAUGAAUGCUACCACCUUAUGUUCUGGAAAGAGUUGAAAGCAAGCGUUGCAAGCACCUUUGAGGUACAUGCUCUGGCUUUGAAGCAAACACAUAUAAUUUUGGAAUAUCAAAGAAAAGAUAUCAUGUAGGGACCUUUAACAGUCGCUUCCACCUCUUUUGAUGCAUCCCGACUUCUGGUGAGGUUUCCUUAAAGUGACUAAUUCUUGUAACUCCUCGAGUGCGGCGCUUGAAAGUGGGAGCUUUUAUAUUGCUGCGCUACAGUUUAUUACAUGCUACAACCUUGUUGGUAGCAUUAAAUCUAAGACUGAAUGACCUGCUUUUUGCGGGAUGUCAUUCACUAAUCACUAGGUUCAGGAUAUUGAGUAUUAGCUUAUUAAUUUGCUAAAUAUUCAUCUCAUUAUUUGGAUUGGAAACUCGGGGACAUAAUUUAUAAGAAACGGAAACAGGGACGUAUUGGUAAUGCAAAGAAAUUUAUUUAACAGUGUUAUGGUCAGUGCAUUCUGGUUUUCAGAUCAUGUUUGUACUGAAAAUGAACAAACUAAACUUCUAUUUUUUUUUGCAGAAGUAUUUGUAAAUUUAUCACCAGGCACAUGGAUUGGACAGUUGUGGAUUAUCAUACUGAUCGUCAGAUUUGAAUCA